GAUGAACGCUGGCGGCGUGCCUAAUACAUGCAAGUCGAGCGAACAGACGAGGAGCUUGCUCCUCUGACGUUAGCGGCGGACGGGUGAGUAACACGUGGAUAACCUACCUAUAAGACUGGGAUAACUUCGGGAAACCGGAGCUAAUACCGGAUAAUAUAUUGAACCGCAUGGUUCAAUAGUGAAAGACGGUUUUGCUGUCACUUAUAAAUGGAUCCGCGCCGCAUUAGCUAGUUGGUAAGGUAACGGCUUACCAAGGCAACGAUGCGUAGCCGACCUGAGAGGGUGAUCGGCCACACGGGAACUGAGACACGGUCCAGACUCCUACGGGAGGCAGCAGUAGGGAAUCUUCCGCAAUGGGCGAAAGCCUGACGGAGCAACGCCGCGUGAGUGAUGAAGGUCUUCGGAUCGUAAAACUCUGUUAUUAGGGAAGAACAAAUGUGUAAGUAACUAUGCACGUCUUGACGGUACCUAAUCAGAAAGCCACGGCUAACUACGUG
rnacentral:rRNA from 1 species